UUCAAAUUUCUCAAGUUGUCCUCAGAGCCUGUGGCAGCUGCUGUUUUUACAGUCGGGAUCUCAUCGAGGGGCAAGCAUUGCAUUGGAUUACGAUGGUCACAUUGAAUCUAGAACAUCUAGGGGCUAUAAAAGAACGUGGGCAGAAAAAACAGGCCACCCACCAAAGGGUAAAUUACUGCACGAUCAAGUCAAGAAGCGAGGGCAGAGGCCUAUGGGAAAUGUAGUCCAAUCCAGACGGAUCACCGCGCAGCACUCUGGGAACGGGUCUUCUUCUGCGCAAGUGCCGUCCUAGCCUCGCCGCGUUUUUACGCAUCUGCAUCUUCCCGCGGAGCAGGUCCCACAACUUUCUCGGUCAGGCAGGCUGGAAGGAGCACACCUGGGGGUCCAACCGCCCUAUUCCUGGAGGGAGCCUCCUCUCCUUCUGGGAUGCUGAGACUUUGUGGAAGUGAAUUUAGAAGCCGCCGGGCAGGCCAGACCCUUCACGGUCUCCCGAGAGGUGCAGAAAAUGAACACAUCUCAGAAGACUGCCAAGAUGAUAACCUCUUAGAGAAGAGCCGACAAAUCCAAGACAGACAUUUGUGGCAAGUUUUAUUUACUCAUUUUCAGAGAACUGACACAGGAGGGAAAAGUUUCGACCAGGGGUCACACACAAGAAGAACAAACCAGAGAAAUUAGGCGGAGGUGACCCCCUUUGAAUGUGGACGAAACUUCAGCCAUAAUUCAGCUAACACACCAGAGAAAUUCUGUGAUUAUAAUAAACAUAGGGGAGCCCUCUGCCCCCA
rnacentral:lncRNA from 1 species